rnacentral:sRNA from 1 species
CCCUAGCUUUUCACUCACAAUCACGGCCAAGCCUAACAAGAACCUUAGCACCUCUAUUUAUACUAUCGAGGUCUUUGGUCUUCUAGGUUAGCCUUCGAGAUCUUGGAUCACUCCAAAUCUUCGCGUGAAUAUCUCCUCUCCAAACUGAACUCAUCCUGUUGUGAUCUCCACGUCAUUCGUUCAUUUGGCGGUAUAUCCACGUGAGCAUCAAUUACUUGAUCUUCACUUUAGUCUUCUGAAACAGCUUCCAGCUUGUUCCAGCAAUCAGCACUCCUUCUGGUUUGUCCUGACAGAGGGUGCACUAACAGUCAGUGCCAGAGAGGGAGUACUUCUCAGAUGAUGACAUUAUUGAUGGA